rnacentral:rRNA from 1 species
UAUUGGGCGUAAGCGCGCGCAGGCGGUUUCUUAAGUCUGAUGUGAAAGCCCCCGGCUCAACCGGGGAGGGUCAUUGGAAACUGGGAAACUUGAGUGCAGAAGAGGAAAGUGGAAUUCCAAGUGUAGCGGUGAAAUGCGUAGAGAUUUGGAGGAACACCAGUGGCGAAGGCGACUUUCUGGUCUGUAACUGACGCUGAGGCGCGAAAGCGUGGGGAGCAAACAGGAUUAGAUACCCUGGUAGUCCACGCUGUAAACGAUGAGUGCUAAGUGUUAGAGGGUUUCCGCCCUUUAGUGCUGAAGUUAACGCAUUAAGCACUCCGCCUGGGGAGUACGGUCGCAAGACUGAAACUCAAAGGAAUUGACGGGGGCCCGCACAAGUGGUGGAGCAUGUGGUUUAAUUCGAAGCAACGCGAAGAACCUUACCAGGUCUUGACAUCCUCUGACAACCCUAGAGAUAGGGCUUUCCCUUCGGGGACAGAGUGACAGGUGGUGCAUGGUUGUCGUCAGCUCGUGUCGUGAGAUGUUGGGUUAAGUCCCGCAACGAGCGCAACCCUUGAUCUUAGUUGCCAGCAUUCAGUUGGGCACUCUAAGGUGACUGCCGGUGACAAACCGGAGGAAGGUGGGGAUGACGUC